CAUCCACCUUGGUCAUCUAGAUUCAGCUCUGAUGAUGCUAAGGAGGUAGUCCAUUACCAAACAAUCUCACCAAAGAGCUUAGCUAAAUCUGUUCUCGAGGAAGGUGGCUGGUCAAACUUCAUGUGCUCAAGGGAGGAUACUCAGAAUAAUGUUGAUGUUGCCAUUGUUUUUAUUGGCUCAAAGCUGCAAUCGUCAGACAUAUCUAAAGAUAAGCAAGUUGAUCCAGCUUUAGCA